GACGAACGCUGGCGGCGCGCUUAACACAUGCAAGUCGAGCGAUGAAAUCUUGACAGAUCCCUUCGGGGUGAAGAUAAGAUGGAUUAGCGGCGGACGGGUGAGUAACACGUGAGUAACCUGCCUUAGACAUUGGGAUAGCCUCGGGAAACCGGGAUUAAUACCAAAUGAAAUCAUAGGUGCCCAUGCACUAAUGAUCAAAACUCCGGUGGUCUAAGAUGGACUCGCGUCCCAUUAGCUAGUUGGUGAGGUAAUGGCCCACCAAGGCGACGAUGGGUAGCCGGCCUGAGAGGGUGAACGGCCACCUUGGAACUGAGAAACGGUCCACACUCCUACGGGAGGCAGCAGUGGGGAAUAUUGCACAAUGGAGGGAACUCUGAUGCAGCGACGCCGCGUGAACGAUGAAGGCUUUCGAGUCGUAAAGUUCUUUUAUAUGGGAAGAUAAUGACGGUACCAUAAGAAAAAGCCCCGGCUAACUACGUG
rnacentral:rRNA from 1 species